CCUACGGGGUGCAGCAGUGAGGAAUAUUGGUCAAUGGGCGGGAGCCUGAACCAGCCAAGCCGCGUGAGGGAAGAAGGUACAGCGUAUCGUAAACCUCUUUUGUCAGGGAACAAAGGCGGGGACUAGCCCCCGGAUGAGGGUACCUGAAGAAAAAGCAUCGGCUAACUCCGGGCCAGCAGCCGCGGUAAUACGGAGGAUGCGAGCGUUAUCCGGAUUUAUUGGGUUUAAAGGGUGCGCAGGCGGCCUGUUAAGUCAGCGGGAAAAGCCCGGGGCUCAACCCCGGCGAGCCGUUGAAACUGGCGGGCUGGAGUUGGAGAGAAGUACGCGGAAUGCGCGGUGUAGCGGUGAAAUGCUUAGAUAUCGCGCAGAACCCCGAUUGCGAAGGCAGCGUACCGGCUCCACACAGACGCUGAGGCACGAAAGCGUGGGUAUCGAACAGGAUUAGAUACCCUUGUAGUC
rnacentral:rRNA from 1 species